GCCGCGGCGAUAGCUUAGUGAGUAUAGUCCGCCACGUGAGAAGAUAUUACCCGCGCGGGUUCGAAUCCCGCCUGUGGCA